GGGACCAGCCUAAGUAGUAGUGCCGCAGGUAACAUGACUUGGGAUUACCUGCUCCCUGCUGCUUAACUUGGUACCGCUUUACG
rnacentral:pre_miRNA from 1 species